rnacentral:rRNA from 1 species
CUUCGGUGGGGAUUAGUGGCGAACGGGUGAGUAACACGUGGGCAAUCUGCCCUGCACUCUGGGACAAGCCCUGGAAACGGGGUCUAAUACCGGAUACUGAUCACUGCAGGCAUCUGUGGUGUUCGAAAGCUCCGGCGGUGCAGGAUGAGCCCGCGGCCUAUCAGCUUGUUGGUGAGGUAAUGGCUCACCAAGGCGACGACGGGUAGCCGGCCUGAGAGGGCGACCGGCCACACUGGGACUGAGACACGGCCCAGACUCCUACGGGAGGCAGCAGUGGGGAAUAUUGCACAAUGGGCGCAAGCCUGAUGCAGCGACGCCGCGUGAGGGAUGACGGCCUUCGGGUUGUAAACCUCUUUCAGCAGGGAAGAAGCGAAAGUGACGGUACCUGCAGAAGAAGCGCCGGCUAACUACGUGCCAGCAGCCGCGGUAAUACGUAGGGCGCGAGCGUUGUCCGGAAUUAUUGGGCGUAAAGAGCUCGUAGGCGGCUUGUCACGUCGGUUGUGAAAGCCCGGGGCUUAACCCCGGGUCUGCAGUCGAUACGGGCAGGCUAGAGUUCGGUAGGGGAGAUCGGAAUUCCUGGUGUAGCGGUGAAAUGCGCAGAUAUCAGGAGGAACACCGGUGGCGAAGGCGGAUCUCUGGGCCGAUACUGACGCUGAGGAGCGAAAGCGUGGGGAGCGAACAGGAUUAGAUACCCUGGUAGUCCACGCCGUAAACGGUGGGCACUAGGUGUGGGC